rnacentral:ncRNA from 2 species
UAGAUUGUUUAUAUUGAAGAACAUGCAUU